UGGGGAAUUUUGGACAAUGGGCGAAAGCCUGAUCCAGCAAUGCCGCGUGUGUGAAGAAGGCCUUCGGGUUGUAAAGCACUUUUGUCCGGAAAGAAAUCCUUGGCUCUAAUACAGUCGGGGGAUGACGGUACCGGAAGAAUAAGCACCGGCUAACUACGUGCCAGCAGCCGCGGUAAUACGUAGGGUGCAAGCGUUAAUCGGAAUUACUGGGCGUAAAGCGUGCGCAGGCGGUUUGCUAAGACCGAUGUGAAAUCCCCGGGCUCAACCUGGGAACUGCAUUGGUGACUGGCAGGCUAGAGUAUGGCAGAGGGGGGUAGAAUUCCACGUGUAGCAGUGAAAUGCGUAGAGAUGUGGAGGAAUACCGAUGGCGAAGGCAGCCCCCUGGGCCAAUACUGACGCUCAUGCACGAAAGCGUGGGGAGCAAACAGGAUUAGAUGCCCCUGGUAGUCCACGCCCUAAACGAUGUCAACUAGUUGUUGGGGAUUCAUUUCCUUAGUAACGUAGCUAACGCGUGAAGUUGACCGCCUGGGGAGUACGGUCGCAAGAUUAAAACUCAAAGGAAUUGACGGGGUCAUAGCUGUUUCCU
rnacentral:rRNA from 1 species